CGCUGUUUGAUUUUUUGUCGUUUUUUCUCUUUUUCUUUACCUUGGCAUUGUCAGUUUGACACUGCAAUAUUUGCAACAUACAAUUUUGUGAACAUUGUGGUAUGUUAUUUAGUUAGUACCUGCAUGCGCUCUUUGUUUGAGGGUCCAACAAUAAUAAAAUAAUACCAAAAUAUAGAAACAUAAAGUGGAGCCUCUCAGCAACAUUUAUUGUUGUGAGUGUAGAACAAUCUAGCUGCGAUAUGAAUGUAGUUGUGGGCAUUGAACACUCUAGCUGCGGAUAUCAAUGAGUG
rnacentral:lncRNA from 1 species